AUGCUCCUCUGCCACCGCAUCCUCCCUCGCCUCCUCUCCCUCCCCUCCAGCGCCACCUCGAAACUCCUCAUCCGCCCCUCCCGCCUCCCUCCUCGCCGCCCCUUCCUGCCUCGCUGCGCCGUGCUCUCUCAGCUUGCGGCCCCCCAAACUGUAGACCACGCCGACGCCGAAGAAUCCGCUGACCACCUCGACGCCGAAGAGCCGCAGGAGCCCCAGGAGCCGCAGGAGGUGCUGGUAAAGCUCCCCCUCGACCGGCUCUUCCUGCCACCGGGGGCGAGCGUGACCCCGGGGGACGAGGAGGUCGUGACCGCGCGUGUCCUCAAGGGUUCCAACAUCGUGCUGGGCACGUACGCGCGGGGCGAUGCGCAGGUGGUUAACGCGGAUUUCAUAAAGAGCAGCGUGCGACCCGAUGACUGCCCCAGGGAUGGGCUGCCCGAGUUCGCGCUCGUCGGCCGCUCCAACGUCGGCAAGUCGUCACUGCUCAACUCGCUCGUCCGCCGCAAGCGCCUCGCGCUCACCUCCAAGAAACCUGGCAAGACCCAGUGUAUCAAUCAUUUUAAAAUAAAUGACAGUUGGUACCUUGUUGACUUGCCUGGUUAUGGAUAUGCUUCAGCACCACAGGUAGCUCGUAAAGAUUGGGAUGAGUUUACUAGAAAUUACUUCCUUAGCAGGGAUAAUCUGGUGUCAGUUUUUCUCCUUAUAGAUGCAAGUAUUCCUGCUAAGAAGAUUGAUCUUGACUAUGCUAGUUGGCUUGGGCAAAACAAGGUCCCAAUGACCCUCGUGUUCACAAAGUGCGACAAGCGCAAGAAGAAGAAAAAUGGCGGCAAGAGACCGGAAGAAAACGUAGAAUGCUUCCAGAGUCUGAUUCGCGAAUAUUUUGAGGCGGCGCCUCCGUGGAUAAUGACGAGCAGCGUAACGAACCAAGGCAGAGACGAGAUACUUCUGCACAUGUCUCAGCUCAGAAACUAUUGGCGCAAGCAUUAA
rnacentral:rRNA from 1 species